rnacentral:lncRNA from 1 species
CCGGGAUGCACCGGGACACAUCCCUUUGCCCUGCUUACCACUCUGCUCUCGUCUUAAGGCCUUUUAGGGAGAUCAGUCUUCAGGAUGAGCUGGUUCAUUGGUUGUUCAUGUGGAACAACAAAAUUGUUCUACCUCUUGUCCUAAAACUGUGUGUGUGUGUGUGUGUGUGUGUGUGUGCCCUUGCUCCAUGAAGCCUUCCCAUCCACUGGUGUGGAGGGAUAAGGGCUCUGUGUGUUCAGAGUCUAUGGAAAACCCUGUGGACUCUAGUAAGCACCUAGGUGGAGGAACAACUCAACCUGCCCAAGAGCUCCACAAAGCUUGAUUCUGCUACAAGCCAAAUGGCCCCUUUGUGUUAUUUCAUGGAUAUUCUCUGCUUACAGGUUUGAAAAGUCCUCAAAAUACUUAGUUCCCUAGAUAAGUCUUUAGACCAGGUGGUUCAGGACUGUGAGCUCCAAGGGGGAGGAUUGUUUGGAUCUGGAGAAGGGUAAACUUAUUUUUAAUGCCCUCUCCCAGCUUUACAUUGCAAAAUACUUUGAACACAAGAAAAAUUGGAUAAAGGGCUAGAGAGAUGGCUCAGUGGUUGAGAGCACUGGCUGCUCUUGCAGAGUGGACCUAGAGUUUAUUCCCAGCACCUGCAUGGUAGCUCACAACUAUCUGUAACUCCAGUUCCAAGACGAUUUGACACUCUUUUUAUCUCUACAGACAUUGAACAUAAGUGGUGUGGAAUAAUGUUAAGCUUCUCUGAUGGGUCCUAAAUGGUUGAAGAACACCCCUCAAGAGAUGGGAAGAUUCUAAGAGCCAGAGAGAAUGGAUUACUCCAAGGCAACACAAUGGGACUGAUGACCACAUGAACUCUUAGAGACUGUAGCAGCUUGCACCAGGCCUGUACAGGUUCAAGCCAGAUGGGGUUCCAGCACUGAGAGGGGAAUUGGACAUGGACGUCUACUCCUUACUAAGAAGCUCUCUGCAACUGAUACCGACUUGCAAAGGAAAAUAGUUUUCUCCAAUGAAGUACCACUGAGUAUAUUAACCAUACUUCAAGAAGACCUAUGCAACCAUGAGUAACUCCACUUCUGGAUAAUCCAGUGCCUUCUUUCUGAC